CCCUUAGACGUUCUGAGCCGCACGCGCGCUACACUGACCGGUGCAACAAGCAUCCGUCCUUGGCCGACAGGCCCGGGCAAUCUUUGAACGCCGGUCGUGAUGGGGAUAGACUUUUGCAAUUUUUGGUCUUCAACGAGGAAUUCCUAGUAAACGCAAGUCAUCAACUUGCAUUGAUUACGUCCCUGCCCUUUGUACACACCGCCCGUCGCACCUACCGAUUGAAUGGUCCGGUGAAGCCUCCGGAUUGGCGCGCACCUCGGUGCCGCCGAGAAGUUGGCUAAACCUUACCAUUUAGAGGAAGGUGAAGUCGUAACA
rnacentral:rRNA from 1 species